GUAGUUGCCACCAACAUCCAAAAGAUUUGGUGUAAACAAUGGACAAUAUUAGAAAACUUUUCAAAUUACUAGCAAACAUUAGGAAAAAUUUGUAUAGCUCUGGACUAAAUAUACCCUUUUAUAAACUAUCAUUUUGUUCUGAUAAAACAUUAAUUUGUAGCUUAAUAAAACUAAAUUUUACAUCUGGUCCAUUAGCUAUUGAAAAUGGUCAGAUUAUGUCUUGUAAUGGCAAAUAUUUAUCAGACCAGUUCCCAUGUUACAUUUUAGUUUGGUCUUCGAAUAUUGAGGAGGGUUGGCGCAGCAGAGGUCUGGGCUUUUAUUACGGCUCUGGUGCUGUAAUAACAGCCAAACAUGUUGUAGAGGAUUAUGAAAACGCUAAUAUUUAUGUCCUUUUCCCAAAUUAUGAAUGCUUAAUAUAUAGAGGUUAUAGAACACUCUAUAUAAAUGGUAAAACAAUUCCAGAAAACCAAGAUAUUUCUUUAAUUGAAUUACAAGGAUGUAUAGAUCCAUUACAAAACUUGAAAUCAGAGAUAGUUGAGUUAGAUAAAAAUCAGGACUUGCAAUUUUAUAUAUUAGAGUCAGGGAAUUAUGGGCCAAAGUGUUGUCGAGUUGAAACACCAAAUACUAAUAUGAAAUUGCAAAUGCAGGCAAAUGAAUUUGUGAUUAGCAAAGUAGGCAAAAAUGGAGACAGCGGAUCCCCUAUUUUCUCAAGCUCUCGCGGGUGUGUUGGAAUAUAUAUUGGUGCUUUUAAUGCUAAAAACUCAGCAUCCCCUCAAGAAUAUGGCAGAGCUUUAAGAUUUGACAAAACAUUUGUUAAACAGAACUUGUAAAUUCUGCUGUUUCUAAUUCACUAACACGUUUCUUACGUUAUAUAUAAACUACAAUUAUAUAAUUAAAUAUAACAAAAAAACUAAAAAAUAAGCAAAAUAAAGAAAAAAAUAAACUACAUUAAUACAUGGUUAAAAAAUAGAAAAAUAGAAAGCACUAAAAAUAAAUAAAUAACACAGAAAAAAAUAAUAUUCAUAUACAUUUAUUUAUAUAUAUAUAUAUAUUUUUUUUUUUUCUCUAGUUUAAAAAAAAGAAAAAAAUUACAUAAGUAAAAAUAUUUAAAUACAAAUUACAUAUACAUACAGUACAUACAGUACCCAGUAUAACAGAGUACACCAUAAUUCUGAAAACAAAGCACCCCUUGUUUUAAAAAUAAUACUGGGAUUCUAUAGAAUUAGAUAUUUGUGCAAAUCUGUUUUACCAGUUUUACAUUACAUUAGCAUACCCAUUAGCAUACCCAAAUACAUAAGGGGAACUAAUCUAACAAAAUAUUUAUGUAAUUUAAUGACUUAAAAUAUGUGCACUACAAUAGAAAUUAAUUAAAUUAGUAGAUUUAAUUAAUGUAUUUAAAAAUUGGUCUUAAUUAUUUAAUAUUAAUUGGUCAUAAUUAUUUUUGCAGCACCUAGGCAAUUUUUGUGUAUUAUUUUCCUUUACUAAAUGAUAUUAAAUGACCACAUUUUUAUGUUAAUUAUUUUAUUUAUUGUUUCAUAGAAUCUGAAUUAUUGAAGAGGGAGGAAGGUGGGGGGUGCACUCAUGCUGGGCACUGUACUGUAUGUGUGUGUGUGUAUUUGUUCAUAUAUAAUUCAAAAUAUUAAUACAAAAAUCUAAAUUUGAAUUUGUGUGGAAGCCAAAAAAAAUACCCCAAACACGUGUGAUAACUGGAAAACUGGAGCAUAAUUGGCAUGGUUACAAUUCUCAAAAUUAAUAAUAUUGUCCAUUGUUUUAGCAACUAACCAGAGAGUGAUCCUGUGUCUUGUCCACAACAAUCCUUUGUGGUGUUUGUUGGUCUGGACUGAGUGAAAUCUGCAUAUGGUUUGAUUUGGCAACCAGACUGACCUUAAUACAUCACUUUUGGGUCAAGUUUCAUGCAGACGAUCUCUCUUUGUUAAACUAAAUUCCAUACUGUACCUGCUGUAACAAGCAAGCAAAGCAAUACUUCUACACUUUCACAAGUAAAGCAAGAUGCCAGGAGAGAGACUGUAAUUUGACCAACAUAAUAGAUCAUGACACCAUCUUGUAUCUCCAUCUCUCAACAUCAUGCUGAAAAACACAACCUUCGACAAUCCUGACGUUUGGGUCAAGUGACAAAACUGAUAAUCUCUCCUUGAAUAACAUGAAAAUGUUCAAUUAAUUCGAAAGAAAGCUCAAUAAAUGAUAAACUGCAAA